rnacentral:tRNA from 1 species
GGAGUGGCUCAUCGGGGACCGAGAGCAUGUCUUGAGGUCGGGUCCUUCGGGGCCCGCGCAGGUUCGAAUCCUGCCCUCUCCG